rnacentral:rRNA from 2 species
CCGUCGCUACUACCGAUUGAAUGGUUUAGCAAGGUCAUCGGAUUGGCGCCAUUAUGGUUGCUCGCCAGCCUGUUGGUGCUGAAAAGACGACCGAGCUUGAUCAUUUAGAGGAAGUAAAAGUCGUAACAAGGUUUCCGUAGGUGAACCUUCGGAAGGAUCAU